rnacentral:tRNA from 3 species
GCCCGGAUAGCCUAGUUGGUUGGGGCGCCAGACUCAUAGGGUAAACGAUUGGGUGCUCCCAUGUCUCCUGAGACAUCUGGAGGCCGCGUGUUCGAGUCACGCUCCGGGCA